UACAGAGGGUGCAAGCGUUGCUCGGAUUUACUGGGCGUAAAGCGUACGCAGACGGCAAGGAAGGUCGGACGUGAAAGCCCCGGGCUCAACCCGGGAAAUGCGUCCGAAACCACCUUGCUAGAGUAUGAGAGAGGAAAGCGGAAUUCCUGGUGUAGAGGUGAAAUUCGUAGAUAUCAGGAGGAACACCGGCGGCGAAGGCGGCUUUCUGGCUC
rnacentral:rRNA from 1 species